UAAGGAAUAUUGGUCAAUGGACGAAAGUCUGAACCAGCCAUCCCGCGUGCAGGAUGACGGCCCUAUGGGUUGUAAACUGCUUUUAGCAGAGACGAAACGCUGUCAUUUAUGAUGGUCUGACGGUAUCUGCAGAAUAAGCACCGGCUAACUCCGUGCCAGCAGCCGCGGUAAUACGGAGGGUGCAAGCGUUAUCCGGAAUCACUGGGUUUAAAGGGUGCGUAGGCGGAAAAUUAAGUCAGUGGUGAAAGCCUGUCGCUUAACGAUAGAACUGCCAUUGAUACUGAUUUUCUUGAAUUGGGUUGAGGUUAGCGGAAUGUGACAUGUAGCGGUGAAAUGCAUAGAUAUGUCAUGGAACACCAAUUGCGAAGGCAGCUAGCUGGGCCUUGAUUGACGCUGAGGCACGAAAGCGUGGGUAGCGAACAGG
rnacentral:rRNA from 1 species